rnacentral:rRNA from 1 species
CCUGAGAAACCCAAAAGAUCGAAAGGCGAGAUUCAUCGUCAGCGUAUUUCAUAUAUGUGCAAACUGGUGAUGCGAUGUAUAUUCUCUUUAUGGGAAUAUAAUUUUUGUACACUUUUGUAUCAUUUAAUUAAUGAAUAACGUCGGCGUGCACUUCUCGUCUAGUAGAACGUUGCGACCCGUUGGGUGUUGAUCUACGACCUAAUUGGUAGCCUUUAAUGUCAUCUUAUAGAUGUUACAUUGAAGACCAUUGGUGUUUUCCGAUUGACUGCCCGGCGGUAUGACAAUAUGAUAUUGAGUCGCUCUUGAAUGCGUCAAAUCUACGUUGCAAUUAUAAUAAGUGAUUAUUUAAGUAUUUUACGGACCUAGUGCCGUUGCUUAACACUGUUAAAUUUGUUGUAGAAUUAUUUGACUGGCUCAUUGAAUAUAAUAAAAUAUCAGUCAGCAAUGCUACUGCUUUGGGUACUUUCAGGACCCGUCUUGAAACACGGACCAAGGAGUCUAACAUGUACGCAAGUCAUUGGGUUAUAUUUUAAAAAUUGAAACCUAAAGGCGUAAUGAAAGUAAAAGUUGUCCUUGUGUCAACUAAGGGAGGAUGAGUUAUUUUACGAUAUAAUUCCGCACUCCCGGGGCGUCUCAUUCUUAUUACAAGAAGA